rnacentral:rRNA from 1 species
GACGAACGCUGGCGGCGUGCUUAACACAUGCAAGUCGAACGGUAAGGCCCUUCGGGGUACACGAGUGGCGAACGGGUGAGUAACACGUGGGUAAUCUGCCCUGCACAUCGGGAUAAGCCUGGGAAACUGGGUCUAAUACCGAAUAGGACCACAGGACACAUGUCCUGUGGUGGAAAGCUUUUGCGGUGUGGGAUGGGCCCGCGGCCUAUCAGCUUGUUGGUGGGGUGAUGGCCUACCAAGGCGACGACGGGUAGCCGGCCUGAGAGGGUGUCCGGCAACACUGGGACGGAGAUACGGCCCAGACUCCUACGGGAGGCAGCAGUGGGGAAUAUUGCACAAUGGGCGAAAGCCUGAUGCAGCGACGCCGCGUGGGGGAUGACGGCCUUCGGGUUGUAAACCUCUUUCACCAUCGACGAAGGUCCGGGUUUUCUCGGGCUGACGGUAGGUGGAGAAGAAGCACCGGCCAACUACGUG